GGGUGGGAAAAUGCAUCCUGCCCGGUACUGAAUUUGCAGACAGUGAAUAGAAAGUGGAUACGUGGAUAAAAUUGCCUGCUGUGAAAAAAUGGGUGCUGAAUCGUGGCCUCAAUUAAGUGAAUUGGGUUUGGUGGUUGCUUGGUGGUGGUUUGUUUUUUUUUUUGGUUUUGGUGGGCAGGGGAUGGUUUGCAUAUCUGUGUGCUUGUGUGCAGGUACAGCAGCCUGGAGGACAUCAGGAUCAGCCUCAGUUAUGAUUAUCUAGUGAGCUGGAAAGCUGUCCCAUUUCUGGCUGGAAGAAGACAUUUCUCACAACAGUUUCAAGACCAGCUCCAGGAAACAGAAAGGAUGGGAACAGCGGGGCGCCCACGCCAUCCCUGUCCACCCUGUCCCGGGGCUCAUUGCUCUGUGUCACUGCUCUCCCCCGUUCACCCACAGCCCGGCUGCAUCAAACCCCAAGUGUACCAGGCUGGGAGCACGGCUGCCUCAGGCCCCUUCCUGGUUUCCAGCUCUUUUGCAGGGUAAAAUCGAGCCUUUGUCCUGCUCUGCAUCAUGAGGCUGGGCUUCCUGCAGGGAGGGACAAUGCCCUGUUGUUCAGGGCCAGCCUGCAGCGAGCUCCCAGCACCAGCCCCUGCGGUCUGGGCUGAGCAGUGCAGAGCUUUGGGACUCCAUAUUCUAGAGGGUGAGUGUAUGAACCCUCUUCCUUACUUUGCCCCUAAAGCGCCAGCAGCGCUGGGGCAGAGCACGUCCUUAUGCACAGAGCACUUCCGCGAGAGGAACGAAAUCUGUAACGAGCUGACAGCGAUGGGGAUGUUUUAUUGCACAAAGAUGCUCAGGAGGGCCAUGCUAUCAAAAUGAUACAAUGUGGAAGCCACAUCCUGCCGGCUUGGCUAAUCUGUAAAAGAGCUUUCAGUGUUUUCCCUUGGAGUAACAGCUUUAAAUUUUAAUAAGCCGUAGUGUACUUUCACCGGAUGUCAUAAGCUGAUACAAAGUUUAAAUGAGGUUAAGCAAGUGGGAGCCUAGGAGAAAUGAACAUGAGAUGUAAAUGAUUUCCUCUCUUUUACAAGUUCACUUCACUGGGACUAUUUUGGAAAAAAAAAAAAAAAGUAUUUUUUUUUCCUUCUCUGGAUGAUUCGACGUCAGCGGAGGGAGACAACACUCGAAGUAGUCACAGAGCAGCUUCAGCAGGAUGGACGCUUAAUAGAAAUGACACAGGAUAUUAAUCAAGUUAUUAAGUCACGUUACCUUUGUCAUUUAGCAGAUUUUGGGAGAGCUACCAAGUCACACAGUGCUCCACACAAGCCUGUAAAACAAGGAUUUGUA